rnacentral:rRNA from 1 species
GAUGAACGCUGGCGGCGUGCCUAAUACAUGCAAGUCGAGCGAACGGACGAGAAGCUUGCUUCUCUGAUGUUAGCGGCGGACGGGUGAGUAACACGUGGAUAACCUACCUAUAAGACUGGGAUAACUUCGGGAAACCGGAGCUAAUACCGGAUAAUAUUUUGAACCGCAUGGUUCAAAAGUGAAAGACGGUCUUGCUGUCACUUAUAGAUGGAUCCGCGCUGCAUUAGCUAGUUGGUAAGGUAACGGCUUACCAAGGCAACGAUGCAUAGCCGACCUGAGAGGGUGAUCGGCCACACGGGAGCUGAGACGCGGUCCAGACUACUACGGGAGGCAGCAGUAGGGAAUCUUCCGCAAUGGGCGAAAGCCUGACGGAGCAACGCCGCGUGAGUGAUGAAGGUCUUCGGAUCGUAAAACUCUGUUAUUAGGGAAGAACAUAUGUGUAAGUAACUGUGCACAUCUUGACGGUACCUAAUCAGAAAGCCACGGCUAGCUACGUG